rnacentral:tRNA from 1 species
GAGAUACUAGUAAAAAGCGCGAUUACGCUGCCUUGUCAAGGCGAUAGUGCGGGUUGAAAUCCUGCGUGUCUCA